rnacentral:rRNA from 1 species
UACGUAGGGUGCGAGCGUUGUCCGGAAUUAUUGGGCGUAAAGAGCUUGUAGGCGGUUUGUCGCGUCGGCUGUGAAAUCCCGAGGCUCAACCUCGGGUCUGCAGUCGAUACGGGCAAACUAGAGUAUUGCAGGGGAGACUGGAAUUCCUGGUGUAGCGGUGAAAUGCGCAGAUAUCAGGAGGAACACCGGUGGCGAAGGCGGGUCUCUGGGCAAUAACUGACGCUGAGGAGCGAAAGCGUGGGGAGUGAACAGG